rnacentral:rRNA from 1 species
GGGCGUAAAGGGAGCGUAGGCGUUCUAUUAAGUCUUGAGUGAAAGCCCGCAGCCUAACUGCGGAACUGCUCAGGAAACUGAUAGAAUUGAGUAUGGAAGAGGUCAGUGGAAUUUCCAGUGUAGGGGUAAAAUCCGUAGAUAUUGGAAGGAAUACCAGAAGCGAAGGCGACUGACUGGGACAUUACUGACGCUGAGGCUCGAAAGCGUGGGGAGCAAACAGGAUUAGAUACCCUGGUAGUCCACGCCCUAAACGAUGAACACUAGUCGUUACGGAGCUAGUCUCUGUAGUGACGCAGCUAACGCAUUAAGUGUUCCGCCUGGGGAGUACGGUCGCAAGAUUAAAACUCAAAGGAAUAGACGGGGACCCGCACAAGCGGUGGAGCAUGUGGUUUAAUUCGAAGAUACGCGAAGAACCUUACCAAGGCUUGACAUGUUAGGAAUCUUGUAGAAAUAUGAGAGCGCUAGCUUGCUAGAACCUAAACACAGGUGCUGCAUGGCCGUCGUCAGCUCGUGUCGUGAGAUGUUGGGUUAAGUCCCGCAACGAGCGCAACCCUCGUCCUUAGUUGCCAGCGGUUCGGCCGGGAACUCUAAGGAGACUGCCUGCGUAAGCGGGAGGAAGGUGGGGAUGAUGUCAGGUCA